rnacentral:rRNA from 1 species
AGGGAAUAUUGCGCAAUGGGGGAAACCCUGACGCAGCAACGCCGCGUGAGUGAUGAAGGCUUUCGGGUCGUAAAGCUCUGUUGCAAGGGAAAAAGAAAGUGAUUGUACCUUGCGAGAAAGGACCGGCAAACUUCGUGCCAGCAGCCGCGGUAAUACGAGGGGUCCUAGCGUUGUUCGGAAUCAUUGGGCGUAAAGAGCUCGUAGGUGGCUUAGUAAGUCAGGUGUGAAAGCCCAGGGCUCAACCCUGGAAGUGCACUUGAAACUGCAUAGCUUGAGUACGGUAGAGGUAAGUGGAAUUCCUGGUGUAGUGGUGAAAUACGUAGAUAUCAGGAGGAACAUCGGUGGCGAAGGCGGCUUACUGGACCAGUACUGACACUGAGGAGCGAAAGCAUGGGGAUCAAAC